ensembl:lncRNA
CCGUUCCUACUCGGUCCCUGUUGGGGGUCCAGGAGCUCUAUGGGGUUCUAUGGGUCUCUAUGGGGCUCUAUGGGGUUCUAUAGGUUUCUAUGGGUCUCUAUGGGUCUCUAGCGUCCAUACUGGUCUCUAUAGUGGUUCUAUGGGUCUCUAUGGGUCUCUAUGGGUCUCUAUGGGGUUCUAUGGUUCUAUGGGUUUCUAUGGGGUGAUUAUGGGGUUCUAAGGGUCUCUAUGGGGUUCUAAUGGGUCCCUCUGGGUCUCUGUGGGUCUCUAUGGGGCCAACGUGGGACCCGUCUGCUUACCCGGCCCCACAUUCCAUUUCCCUGCCGGGACCCAAUGCGUGGCUACGGGGUGGGGGGACAUCGGGGAAGGAGGAGGUGUGGGUCCCGCUGAUGGGGCAGGCUCAGUGCCGCCGACUCUAUGGGACCCAAAUGGGGACCCAGCUACCGCCAAGGAAGGUCCAGGAUGACAUGAUCUGUGCCGGGUACCCACAGGGCAUCAGGGACACAUGUAAGGUCAGCUAUGGGGUAUAUGGGGUGUCUAUGGGGUGUCUAUGGGGUUAUAGGGUCUCUAUGGGGGUUAUGGGGUCACUAUUGGGGUUAUGGGGUCUAUGGGGUCUCUAUGGGGUUAUGGGGACCCUAUGGGGUCUAUGGGGUCUCUAUGGGGUCUCUAUGGGGUUAUGGGGUCUCUAUGGGGUUAUGGGGUCUCUAUGGGGUCUCUAUGGGGUUAUGGGGUCUCUAUGGGGUUAUGGGGUCUCUAUGGGGUCUCUAUGGGUCCCUAUAGGGGUAUGAUCUGUGCCGGGUACCCACAGGGCAUCAGAGACACAUGUAAGGUCAGCAACUUAUGGGGUGUCUAUGGGGUGUCUAUGGGGUCUCUAUGGGGUCUCUUUGGGAUCUCUAUGGGCCUUAUAGAGUCUCUAUGGGGUAUAUGGGGUCCCUAUGGGGGUUUUGGGAUCCCUAUUGGGGUUAUGGGGUCCCUAUAGGGUAUAUGGGGUCCCUAUGGGGUUAUGGGGUCCCUAUUGGGGUUAUGGGGUCCCUAUUGGUGUUAUAGGGUCCCUAUGGGGUUAUAGUGUUCCUAUUGGGGUUAUGGGGUCCCUAUGGGGUUUAUCGGGUCCCUAUGUGAGAUAUAUGGACUCUAUGGGGCUUAUAGGGUCUCUAUAGGGUAUAUGGGAUCCCUAUGGGGGUUAUGGUGUCCCUAUUGGGGUUAUGGGGUCUCUAUGGGGCUUAUAGGGUCUCUAUAUGACAUAUAGGGUCUCUAUUGUGUCCCCCAUAGGGUGACUCAGGGGGUCCCCUUGUUUGCCUAUCCGGUUCCCGUUGGGUUCUGGGGUCCCUAUUGGUGUUAUGGGGUCCCUAUGGGGUUAUGGGGUCCCUAUGGGGUCUCUAUGGGGUUAUGGGGUCCCUAUGGGGUUUAUGGGGUCCCUAUGGGGUUAUAGGGUCCCUAUUGGUGUUAUGGGGUCUCUAUGGGGUUUUGGGGUCCCUAUUAGGGUUAUAGUGUUCCUAUUGGGGUUAUGGGGUCUCUAUGGGGUUAUGGGGUCUCUAUGGUGGAUAUGGGGUCCCUAUGGGGUCUCUAUGGGGUUAUGGGGUCUCUAUGGGUCUUAUAGGGUCUCUAUGGGGGUUAUGGGGUCUCUAUGGGGUCUCUAUGGGGUUAUGGGGUCUCUAUGGGGUUAUGGGGUCUCUAUGGGUGUUAUGGGGUCUCUAUGGGGUUAUGGGGUGUCUAUGGGGUCCCUAUUGGGGUUAUAGGGUCUCUAUAGUGUAUAUGGGGUCCCUAUGGGGCUUAUAGAGUCUCUAUGGG